CAGCUGCAAAGUCGGCGAUGGACGUAUGGGUUUUUGUAAACAUAUAGCAAAAUGUACAGAAGCGGCAACAGCUUUUAAGAAUGGGCAUCGGCCAAAAAUUUGUUCAUUUGGCAAGGAUGCAUUGGAUAUCUUCGUCUGCUGUGACGAUACUCUCAUAUUUAACGGCACACCUGGAGUAGUAAG